UCAUGAUGAACGCUAGCUACAGGCUUAACACAUGCAAGUCGAGGGGCAGCAUGGUCUUAGCUUGCUAAGGCCGAUGGCGACCGGCGCACGGGUGAGUAACACGUAUCCAACCUGCCGUCUACUCUUGGACAGCCUUCUGAAAGGAAGAUUAAUACAAGAUGGCAUCAUGAGUCCGCAUGUUCACAUGAUUAAAGGUAUUCCGGUAGACGAUGGGGAUGCGUUCCAUUAGAUAGUAGGCGGGGUAACGGCCCACCUAGUCUUCGAUGGAUAGGGGUUCUGAGAGGAAGGUCCCCCACAUUGGAACUGAGACACGGUCCAAACUCCUACGGGAGGCAGCAGUGAGGAAUAUUGGUCAAUGGGCGCAGGCCUGAACCAGCCAAGUAGCGUGAAGGAUGACUGCCCUAUGGGUUGUAAACUUCUUUUAUAAAGGAAUAAAGUCGGGUAUGGAUACCCGUUUGCAUGUACUUUAUGAAUAAGGAUCGGCUAACUCCGUGCCAGCAGCCGCGGUAAUACGGAGGAUCCGAGCGCUAUCCGGAUUUAUUGGGUUUAAAGGGAGCGUAGAUGGAUGUUUAAGUCAGUUGUGAAAGUUUGCAGCUCAACCGUAAAAUUGCAGUUGAUACUGGAUAUCUUGAGUGCAGUUGAGGCAGGCGGAAUUCGUGGUGUAGCGGUGCAAUGCUUAGAUAUCACGAAGAACUCCGAUUGCGAAGGCAGCCUGCUAAGCUGCAACUGACAUUGAGGCUCGAAAGUGUGGGUAUCAAACAGGAUUAGAUACCCUGGUAGUCCACACGGUAAACGAUGAAUACUCGCUGUUUGCGAUAUACGGCAAGCGGCCAAGCGAAAGCGUUAAGUAUUCCACCUGGGGAGUACGCCGGCAACGGUGAAACUCAAAGGAAUUGACGGGGGCCCGCACAAGCGGAGGAACAUGUGGUUUAAUUCGAUGAUACGCGAGGAACCUUACCCGGGCUUAAAUUGCAGAUGAAUUACGGUGAAAGCCGUAAGCCGCAAGGCAUCUGUGAAGGUGCUGCAUGGUUGUCGUCAGCUCGUGCCGUGAGGUGUCGGCUUAAGUGCCAUAACGAGCGCAACCCUUGUUGUCAGUUACUAACAGGUUCCGCUGAGGACUCUGACAAGACUGCCAUCGUAAGAUGUGAGGAAGGUGGGGAUGACGUCAAAUCAGCACGGCCCUUACGUCCGGGGCUACACACGUGUUACAGUGGGGGGUACAGAGGGCCGCUACCACGCGAGUGGAUGCCAAUCCCCAAAACCUCUCUCAGUUCGGACUGGAGUCUGCAACCCGACUCCACGAAGCUGGAUUCGCUAGUAAUCGCGCAUCAGCCACGGCGCGGUGAAUACGUUCCCGGGCCUUGUACACACCGCCCGUCAAGCCAUGGGAGCCGGGGGUACCAGAAGUGCGUAACCGCGAGGAGCGCCCUAGGGUA
rnacentral:rRNA from 1 species